rnacentral:rRNA from 1 species
GACGAACCGAGCGAACGUUGUUCGGAAUCACUGGGCUUAAAGGGCGCGUAGGCGGGUGCUCAAGUCUGUGGUGAAAUCCUCCGGCUCAACCGGAGAACUGCCAUGGAUACUGGGUGCCUCGAGGGUGAUAGGGGUAUGCGGAACUAACGGUGGAGCGGUGAAAUGCGUUGAUAUCGAUAGGAACUCCGGUGGCGAAGGCGGCAUACUGGAUCACUUCUGACGCUGAGGCGCGAAAGCCAGGGGAGCGAACGGG